UCAUGUUGCCGAUUGGUUCUUUGAUAGAGGCUUGGGUUAAGAGUAUGUGCGCAAUGUGAGUCGUCAGGACAAGGAGGAGCUGUCUAUUGUUCUUGUCGAGAGACGGUCUUUUUUUCCUGUUUGUUCGAUUGUGAUUUUGCGUUGGUGGAAGCAGUAGUGUCUUUGUAAAUGAGUGGUUGGACUCCUAGCCGAAUUCUGCAAGCCUCAAAGUUUAAAUGCCUUGGUUAAUAUAUCAGCAUGUUGCUCUGUUGAUGAUAUGUGUAUUACCUCAAUUUCUCCUAUUUCCCAUUUCUAGAGAAGUGAUAGUGCAUUUCGAAAUGUUUAGUUCGAUCAUGGAACACAAGAUUUUGAACAAGUUUAAUGCUGCUUUGGUUGUCAACGUGAAGUGGAGUAGAAAGAUUGCGAAUUACUCCCAGUUCUGUGAGUAGCUGCCGUAGCCAGAUUUGAUGUCGUAACCAACAAGAGCACAUCAGUGUGCAUGUGCGGUGAGCUUGGUGCAGUCAGUAGCGGGAAUGUGGAUGUAGAUGACACACCCGAUGGUGGGUAGAUAGGUGAGAUCAGGCUUCUUUUCGAAAAGGAGUUCAUGAGGAGAAGAAAGGGGAGUAGACUUACUAGGGAUCCGAUCUUGGACGUAGCAGGCAGUGUGAAGUAAUUCUCUAUAAAAAUUCUGGUAGGUGGCUGGAGAGGGAGAGGGUGCGGCUCAUUUCUAGGAGGGCCAAUUACGCCUCUUCGCCACCCCAUUGUAUUGUGGAGUGCCGGCUUGGGUGAGCUGCCGUGUUAUCUCAUGAUGUUGACAGAAGCGAUUGAAGGGGAGGGAAGUAAAUUCACCUCCGCGAUCGGAGCAGAGGCAUGAGAUAUAGAGGCCGAGCUGUUUUUCAACGGUGUUUUUAAAGCUUGAAAAAAUAUUGAAAGUUUCUGAUUUCUACUUGAGAAGGAGGUGGUUCUUCUUCGACGUAAUGCCACAGGCCCUCCCUCUUCAAGACCUGCUCUAUAAUAAAGCUCCAGACGCUAUAGUUUUCCUCUCUUGUGAGUCAACACUCAACAGGGAUAAGAUUGGCAUCGCUGGCCAUGGUGCGAUGAAAGGAUGAGUGAGGGUAGACUGUCACCUAUGGUGGAUCUUGCGAUGUCGACUCGGGUGGUGGAGUGAUUGUGGUGGUGAUGGAUGAGGCUGGCUCUAAGCCUUCUGAGUCCGAGCUCAUGCCGAGAGAUGCUCGGAGAGGCAGAGGCCCAGAGGAAAUAGCUCUAAUACCAUGUCAAAAUGAUAUUGUAUUGAUUCAGUGACACCAGAAGCUCUCGAUGUUACCAUGUGGAAUCUCAUACCCAGAUGAUUGGUGCUCCGAGGUGUCUCAUGUAAACAUGAGAUUCUUCCUCCUUUGCCUCACUCUUGAUCAGAAACAGAAGCUGAUCACAUGAGAACCAAUGAUACUAAUCACUUCACAAAGAGGCACCAUUUCCAUUCAUGAAUAUAUCAUUACUUUUUUUUUAA